rnacentral:rRNA from 1 species
UGGGGAAUAUUGGACAAUGGGCGAAAGCCUGAUCCAGCCAUGCCGCGUGUGUGAAGAAGGUCUUCGGAUUGUAAAGCACUUUAAGUUGGGAGGAAGGGCAGUAAGCGAAUACCUUGCUGUUUUGACGUUACCGACAGAAUAAGCACCGGCUAACUCUGUGCCAGCAGCCGCGGUAAUACAGAGGGUGCAAGCGUUAAUCGGAAUUACUGGGCGUAAAGCGCGCGUAGGUGGUUCGUUAAGUUGAAUGUGAAAGCCCCGGGCUCAACCUGGGAACUGCAUCCAAAAAUGGCGAGCUAGAGUAGGGCAGAGGGUGGUGGAAUUUCCUGUGUAGCGGUGAAAUGCGUAGAUAUAGGAAGGAACACCAGUGGCGAAGGCGACCACCUGGGCUCAUACUGACACUGAGGGGCGAAAGCGUGGGGAGCAAACAGG